CGCGAAUUCGCCCUUCGCACCAGGCGCGAAAACUUUACAAUGCGGGAAACCGUGAUAAGGGGACACCGAGUGCCAGCAUCAUAUGCUGGCUGUCCAGGUGUGUAAACUACACCUGUUAGCAAGGGCCGGGCAAGACCGGUGCCAGCCGCCGCGGUAACACCGGCGGCCCGAGUGGUGAUCGUGAUUAUUGGGUCUAAAGGGUCCGUAGCCGGUUUGGUCAGUCCUCCGGGAAAUCUGACGGCUCAACCGUUAGGCUUUCGGGGGAUACUGCCAGGCUUGGAACCGGGAGAGGUAAGAGGUACUACAGGGGUAGGAGUGAAAUCUUGUAAUCCCUGUGGGACCACCUGUGGCGAAGGCGUCUUACCAGAACGGGUUCGACGGUGAGGGACGAAAGCUGGGGGCACGAACCGGAUUAGAUACCCGGGUAGUCCCAGCCGUAAACGAUGCUCGCUAGGUGUCAGGCAUGGCGCGACCGUGUCUGGUGCCGCAGGGAAGCCGUGAAGCGAGCCACCUGGGAAGUACGGCCGCAAGGCUGAAACUUAAAGGAAUUGGCGGGGGAGCAC
rnacentral:rRNA from 1 species